rnacentral:rRNA from 1 species
CCCCAGCGCCCCAAGUGGGAAUCACGAUUAUUGGGUCUAAAGCGUUCGUAGCAGGCCUUGUAAAUCUCUUGUGAAAUUGUCUGGCUUAACCAGACAGCGUGCAGGAGGCACUGCAGGGCUCGAGAUCGGGAGAGGUUAGAAGUAUUCCUUGGGUACCGGUAAAAUGGGUUAAUCCAAGGAGGACUACCAAUGGCGAAGGCAUCUGACCAGAACGAUUCUGACUGUGAGGAACGAAAGCUAGGGGAGCAAAACG